rnacentral:rRNA from 1 species
GACGAACGCUGGCGGCGUGCCUAAUACAUGCAAGUCGAACGCUGAAGGAGGAGCUUGCUUCUCUGGAUGAGUUGCGAACGGGUGAGUAACGCGUAGGUAACCUGCCUGGUAGCGGGGGAUAACUAUUGGAAACGAUAGCUAAUACCGCAUAAUAGCAGUUGUUGCAUGACAACUGUUUGAAAGGUGCAAUUGCACCACUACCAGAUGGACCUGCGUUGUAUUAGCUAGUUGGUGGGGUAACGGCUCACCAAGGCGACGAUACAUAGCCGACCUGAGAGGGUGAUCGGCCACACUGGGACUGAGACACGGCCCAGACUCCUACGGGAGGCAGCAGUAGGGAAUCUUCGGCAAUGGACGGAAGUCUGACCGAGCAACGCCGCGUGAGUGAAGAAGGUUUUCGGAUCGUAAAGCUCUGUUGUAAGAGAAGAACGAGUGUGAGAGUGGAAAGUUCACACUGUGACGGUAUCUUACCAGAAAGGGACGGCUAACUACGUG